rnacentral:lncRNA from 1 species
CCGGAAAAUGGAACUUCAUUUCGUUGGGUAAGGGCUUUUUUGAAUUUACGUUUAAUUCCGCUGAAGAUUUGAGAAGAGUUUGCUCUUCAACUUCUUGGAACAUCAAGCCAGGUACCUUGAAGCUUUUCAGAUGGUCUUCGGACUUUAAUCCUAGUGCGCAUAAUUUAUCUUAGAUACAAUGUUGGGUAAGGGUUCAUAAUCUACCGCAGGAAUAUUACAGACCAAAUGUCCUGUUUUCCAUUGCCGGUGGAAUUGUCUAUCCUAUUUCUUUGGACUCGGCCACCAAAAAUCGGUCAUUUGGCCAUUACGCUAGGAUUCUAAUUGAGCUUGACAUAAAAAAAGAGCCCUCAUCGGAAAUGUUUGUUGAGCGGGAUGGCUUUGCUUUUGUUGUUAAUAUUGAGUAUGAAAAGUUUCCUCCUUAUUGCCUUCACUGUCAAGCAUUUGAGCAUGCUCGUAAGGCUUGCCGAAAGAUGCAAAAAUCUACAGCAGCUGAUCCGAAUGUCGUAGCCCUAAGAGCCGGUAAAUCUGCCUAGGCUGGUAGGCAGUCACGCCCAGUCCAGCCUCCAGACCAAAAUUCUGUCCAGGCUGGUGCUGCAGCCUAGAAUUCUGCCCAGGCUGGUAGGCAUUUCCGCCCAGUCCAGCCUCCAGUGGCGCCUGCUGAUUCUGCCCAGGUUGGUAGGCUGUCCCGCCCAGUCCAGCCUCUAGUGGUGCCUGCAGACUAGAAUUCUGCCCAGGCUGGUGCGCCUGCAGUCCAGACUUCUGCUUAGGCUGGUGCGCCUACAGGCCAGACUUUUGCCCAUGCUGGUACGCCUGCAGCCCAAACUUCUGCUCAAGCUUUUGCCUAGGUUGGUGCGCCUACAGCCUAGACUUCUGCUCAGGCUGGUGUGCCUACAGCCCAGACUUUUGCCUAGGCUGGUGCACCUGCAGCCUAGACUUCUGCUCAGGAUUUUGCCCAGGCUGGUGCGCCUGCAGUCCAGACUUCUGCUCAGGCUGGUGCGCCUGCAGCCCAUACUUCUGCCCAGGCUGGUAGGCAUUCCCGCCCAGUCCAGCCUUCUGUGGUGUAGCAGCAGGGGCCUCUUCGCCCGCUUGAUGCAGCAUUUCAUGCUGCUAUUUCUGUAGUACCUCCAACAUUAAGGGUUGUUUCUGCAGCCAUUCCAGCAUCUGUGGCUGAUGCUCCUGUAGUUGUGCAGAAUCCAAUCUAAUAAUUGAUUUAAAUAUGCAGGUCCCGGAUUAUCCCGUGGUUUCAGGUCCGCCGGCUACGCAGAAAAUUGGUGUUGAUAAAGGCAAAAGGCCAAUGUUUGAGCAGGUUUCCCUCGACCCUUCAGAUAGUUUUUUGGCUAUUAGAGUGCACCCUAAUGUGGAGACAACCCUCAUUAUUAAGCCAACAGAUAACCUGCAGUCUAACCAGGGCUACCACGGCUGUGGUGGGAGCUGCCUGGACAACGCGUGGGGAGCCCUCAAGAGUGGGGAUUCCGGGCUCGGAAAAAUCGUUUGCGGAUGCUUUAAAAAACACUUGAUUUUUCUGACUUUUACGUCUCCGACCUUCCCACGUGUUGUAUAAAAGAUGGGAAAAUUGCUAUCAAAAUUCUGGAAGAUGAAUACAAAGCCGAGGUGGAGGAAUGCAAACAUAGCCUCCAUGGCCGGCUCAUUUUAUCGAAAGGGGACACCCCUCCAAA